rnacentral:lncRNA from 1 species
AUGUGUAAGGGAAGCCUCUAGGAAAUGUUUCUCUUGAAAUCCAUAAAGGGAAGCCUGGGAGGAAUACUUCCUCUUUGUGCUGAUAGCUUACCAGAUCAGUGAUGGAAGUGUAGAGCAUAACUCUGCACUGAAGGCUGAAAUCACCUCUGAGACACCAGCAAGACCCAGCAUGGAGCCAAAGGAGGACUGAUGGAGAGUGGCCCCACCAUUGUGAAUGCUGGCAUUGGAGCCCAUCACAACCUAUAUCAAAA